rnacentral:rRNA from 1 species
CCUACGGGUGGCAGCAGUGAGGAAUAUUGGUCAAUGGGCGCGAGCCUGAACCAGCCAAGUCGCGUGAGGGAAGACGGUCCUAUGGAUUGUAAACCUCUUUUGUCGGGGAGCAAAAGACGCCACGCGUGGCGUUCCGAGAGUACCCGAAGAAAAAGCAUCGGCUAACUCCGUGACAGCAGCCGCGGUAAUACGGAGGAUGCGAGCGUUAUCCGGAUUUAGUGGGGUUAAAGGGUGGGCAGGCGGAAGAUCAAGUCAGCGGUAAAAUUGAGAGGCUCAACCUCUUCGAGCCGUUGAAACUGGUUUUCUUGAGUGAGUGAGAAGUAUGCGGAAGGCGUGGUGUAGCGGUGAAAUGCAUAGAUAUCACGCAGAACUCCGAUUGCGAAGGCAGCAUACCGGCGCUCAACUGACGCUCAUGCACGAAAGUGUGGGUAUCGAACAGGAUUAGAUACCCCUGUAGUC